AGGACUGCUAAUACCGCAUGCGGUUGCGCGGGGUUUGAGACCCGCGUUCCAAAGGCGCGAGCAAUCGUUCCGCUUUCGGAGGGGCCUGCGACCCAUCAGCUAGUUGGUAGGGUAACGGCCUACCAAGGCAACGACGGGUAGGGGACCUGAGAGGGUGACCCCCCACACUGGCACUGACACACGGGCCAGACUCCUACGGGAGGCAGCAGUCGGGAAUAUUGCCCAAUGGACGAAAAUCUGAGGCAGCAACGCCGCGUGCGCGAUGAAGGCCUUCGGGUCGUAAAGCGCUUUUCGGGUGGAUGAGAGCGGACAGUACACCCGGAAUCAGGUACGGCUAACUACGUGCCAGCAGCCGCGGUAAAACGUAGGUACCGAGCGUUAUCCGGAUUUACUGGGCGUAAAGCGCGUUCAGGCGGUUUGGCAAGUCGGGCAUGAAAUCUCUCGGCUCAACCGGGAGAGGUUGUCCGAUACUGCCGGACUAGAGGGCAGCAGAGGGUGGUGGAAUUCCGGGUGUAGUGGUGAAAUGCGUAGAGAUCCGGAGGAACACCAGUGGCGAAAGCGGCCACCUGGACUGCACCUGACGCUCAAACGCGAAAGCUAGGGGAGCGAACGGGAUUAGAAACCCCGGUAGUC
rnacentral:rRNA from 1 species